rnacentral:rRNA from 1 species
AUUGAACGCUGGCGGCAGGCCUAACACAUGCAAGUCGAGCGGCAGCGGAAGGAAGCUUGCUUCCUUGCCGGCGAGCGGCGGACGGGUGAGUAAGGUAUGGGGAUCUGGCCGAAGGCGGGGGAUAACCACUGGAAACGGUGGCUAAUACCGCAUAAUCUCUAAGGAGCAAAGUGGGGGACCGUUCAGGCCUCACACCUUCGGAUGAACCCAUAUGAGAUUAGCUAGGAGGUGGGGUAAUGGCUCACCUAGGCGACGAUCUCUAGCUGGUCUGAGAGGAUGUGCAGCCCCACUGGGACUGAGACACGGCCCAGACUCCUACGGGAGGCAGCAGUGGGGAAUAUUGCACAGUGGGCGCAAGCCUGAUGCAGCCAUGCCGCGUGUAUGAAGAAGGCCUUCGGGUUGUAAAGUACUUUCAGUCGUGAGGAAGGUGUUAAGGUUAAUAACCUUAGCAAUUGACGUUAGCGACAGAAGAAGCACCGGCUAACUCCGUGCCAGCCGCCGCAGUAA